ensembl:snoRNA
UGGUAUGUAUCUUUGGGACUUGUUAGCUAUGGCAGUCUCCCUUCCUAGCCUUGGAAGAGCAUGUUUUUAUAUAGCAACAAACCCAUAUUUAGCAUUUAAUUGGUAUCAGAUUCUGAUUUUCACAAGUAACAUUC